UUAAACCAUAUGGAAUUUGUUUUCUAAACAAAUGUGGUUGAUUUUUCUGUUUGCUUGUUUUCUCGUUGAGGCCUUGUGAUUUCCGGGCUGUGAUAAAGCAUGCAACAGCAACAAAAAUGUAUAUAUAUAUAUUUCCUUUCCUUUAGCCCAUACCUGUAAUCAAGCUGUAUAUGUCUAUCUCGACAUGAAAAAAAAAAAAAGUGUUUUCAUAACAAAAGCAAAGAGCUAGAUCAGCAUUGCAUUGUAUCACUUGCAUUUUUUUGAAAAGCCUUGUCAUAUGUUUCAGCUUAGAUUUUUGAUUUUUUCGCAGUAGUUGUUUUGUAAAAAUGCUUUGUGCAUGAGAUAGACUGUAACAUAUGAAAUACAAUUUCACCUCUAUUAGUAGUUGUAUUUAAAUUUCACUUUCAAAUUGCUCCAGUUUUUGAGCAUUUUUAUUUUUGCCCCGCAUCGCUCCCUGUUGAUCUCAUUAAUGGUGAUGCUCUAGUGCGAUCCUCUGUUGUAUCCAUUGAGACAACAGAACCCUGCUUUUGCAGAAACAGAUCUAACUCUCCAGCAUUUAGACCAGAUGUUUUACAGCUUCCAUGAUGCUUUGUACUUCUAAAAUCAUUCUAAAGGCAUGCAAAGCAUCACUGAACUUCUACAACAUCUGGGGAUUUAUCUAUUAGGCACCCCUGACUGUUCUAUAAACAUCUCUUAAAGUGAUAAGAAAUUGGAAGUUUCCUUACCCAGCCUUGCAAGAACACACAUACCUCCCAAUAAUCCAAGAUUUGACAGGACAGUCCCAAAUUAGAGGCCAUGUCUUGCUUUUUGGUCUAUGAUUUCUCGUUUUGGGAGACCCUAGAGACUAAGUCUAAAGUGAAUUGCGCUCAUAUCAUUAGUCGCAUUUGCACUGCAAAAUUUCAUCUGGGGGCAUUUAAACUAUGGGCAGGACGGUUUAAUGGUGCUCUGUACAAAUGCGGCACAGCGUGGAGCUAGUCUGAUGUUUACUGAUGCCAGGCUUACCUGCCCUUAUUUGAGAAGAACGAUUCCAUUUUUUGCACCAAUAGUUUUCUUGCACCACCACCACUGCAAUUAGUUGAAAUGGUCACGGUGCUUAUAGCUUCCCUAUAAACCUAUUACACAUGCUUGUGAUCUUACCCAUUUUAAGCAUAGAAUCCCAAUAUUCAGAACACAUAGAUAGGAUUAUGCCACAAAUUACAUAAAACCAGUAAUAGUAAUAUGGAAAGAACAGACGUGAACCAAUAUAUGAUCAUUUAUAUGUACAUUUAAAAAAAAAAAACAUUUUAGACUCGGUAAGAGAUGAUAUAUUCCAUUUAAUUGUCAGAUUCUAUAGAAACAGUCCACAUUGAACUGUUUCGUUAAUUGACAGUUGAAUUGUAACAGCUAAUGGAUCUUUAAUAAAGAUGUGGAGAUUUGCGAAGUUUUAUUUAUUUUUAUUUAUUUUUCAAAGUGCUUUAUCUUUUGGGUAUUUAUUUUUUAAAUUUUUUUUAAAUUUAGCGAAGCAGUGAGUUGUACUGAGUUGACUGUAUAAUUCAGCAAAUUUUUAGCUGAGAUUGAAGCACAUUUAAAGUGCACCUGUCAGGUUAAACAAGACUUGGUAUCACUUUACAGGAAGUAGAAUUGAAUUGCAGGACCAUUAGGAAUGCUAACACAUGCAAAGAUCCGGAGUUAUGCAUACUUUUUGCAUUUUGUUUCAUGCCUUCUCUGACUUUACAUCAUAGCAGUAUAAUAUGACACCCACAGGUAGCUGCAAGCGAUGUAGGUAAAUUAAGGAUUCAUUUUCUAGGGCCCUACUUCUCUUAAAGUGGCACUGUCACACCAAACGUACCUUUCUCCAACUGUUUCUUUUGACCUUCUUUGACCAAAGGAGGAGCUUACGUCAGCUCCAUUUCCUGUGUUAUUGAGAAGGGUGAGUACUUUCUCUGAUGGUGAUGGAUAAGGAGCUGACGUAAGUUCCUCCUUUGGUCAAAGAAAUUCAAGUGUAGGGAAAUACAUAAGACAAAGUCGUCCAUACUUUGUCUUGUGUUUUAAAGAAAAUUAGAUCACAAAAAAAGACCAGAUUCUGAGAUGAAGAGAAGAGGAAACAACAGGAGAAAUGUAUGUUUGCUGAGACAGUGCCACUUUAAGAGAACUAGGGCCCUAGAAAAUGGAUCCUUAAUUUACCUACAUAAAUACAUAAGACAAAGUAAAUCCCUACUUUGUCUUAUGUCAAGAAAAGUUCAGCGUGACAGUGAUAUAGCUAAAACACUGCUGAGUUUGUCAGAAUUGAGCAAUUCAAGUAUGCUGUCAUUGCAUUUAACAUAAACCUUGACAAAAUCAAGAGUAUUGGGUCGUCAAACCUUUGAUUCUGCAGAUAUUUUGACUACAUAGCAAAAAAGUGUGAAAAAAAAAGUUCCAAUAUGUAAAAAAAUUGUGGUGAACGUAAUAAGUAUACUAAAAUUAAUGCACUGAGAUGUAUAAUAUUAAGUUUGAUUGUAUAAUAGCUUUAGAAAUAAUUAACUAUUAGAAAAGUUCUAACAUUACCCUCUUAGCUAUCAAGUUGUUUUAUCACAAUAUAAUCUAAAAAAUGAAUAAUAAUAAUUUUGAAGCCUUUAUAAAAAUCUUCCAUGGUCUACUUGGGCAUAGAGAGAUGUUUACGUUAUCAUGUUCAGAUGAUUACAUUAUAUUUGUGGAGUGAGGUGAAGAUGUCUUUGAAGGGCUGGACAUCUACAGAAAUGUUAUAGGUUUUACAACUAAUAGACUUGAGGUUUUUUUGAGGAGCCAAAAGUAACUGGUGCUUGAGACAGAAGCAAAACUUGAUGCUGCCUUGUACCUUCCUUGACCCCACUCUGCCUUUUUGAUAAUCCUGGCAUACAGGGUUAAUCCCUAAAAUGGGAAAUUAUCAUGAAUACUCCAGGGAGUUUAAAAUGUUGGACCAAAAUAGCUAAAUUGGAAAUAUUCUCUUCUGUUUGUCAUUUUAGUUCGAGGUAUAAAUGCCUAAAAUAUGAAAUUCUCUUAUUGAUUCAGACAAUUCCUGAUGUAAUGAACAAAUGUAUGAUUCAGUAGAGCAGGCUUCCCCAAAUUCCGGCCCUCCAGAUGUUGCUGAACUACAACUCCCAUGAUUCUCAUCCUAUCUAUUUCAUUCAUAGAAUCAUAGAGUUGUAGUUCAGCAACAUCUGGAGUGCCAGAGUUUGGGGAAGCCUGCUGUAGAGCCUCAUCAGAUCUUGUCCCUUAAAUAUACAAAGUGUAAUAAGGCAUCAGACACAGAAUCCUAAACAUACAGACUCGUACACACACAAACACAUCACACUGGUACCCUGGGUUCUACAGAUCAAACCUUUAGCAAUAUACUAGCAAAACACCCCUUGUGUUUUUCAGAUUGUAAAACUUUUAAGGUUAAUCACAAAAAGAACUGUGGAGAAUCGACAAAGGAAUUGUGGUUUUGUCCAAAAUUUGCUAGAAAAAUCAACAUGCUUACUAUUGUGAUGUUUUGACAAAUAUUUGAAAUUCCCUUGACGGUAAUCCACAAUUCAAAAUUCAGCAAAUAAGCCCCAUCAGAGUUGGCUAACUGGCCACACAACAGGUAUUUUGAGAGCUAAUAAAUUUAUGCAUUUUUUCAUUUUUUUGUGCAAUUCUUAGGGUUCACCUCUAAAGCAAAAUCCUGCAGAUUGAAGAUUAUAUUUUUCAUUGUACAUUUGUGAGUAAUUUGACUGCUACUAUGUAUAUUGCUAUUUGCAUGACAGAGGCGGUUAAAUACCCAAAUGGCUGCUUGUUGUGUAUUACUAUGUGUCAUAAUAUCAAUCUCCACUGGAAUGCAUUUAACAGCUAUUGUUGUAUUUGUUUAAGAUUAGCACGUUAAUCAGAACUCAUGUGGAAGCCAAAGAAAGGGACUGAUCGAUUGUAUAAUCCUGUCAUAUAGCAGUAUGUAUUACUACACCACAGCUGGGGAAUUACUAUACAGCCUCAAUUGACUUUGUUUUGAAAAUGUUUUAAAGCUGUAUCUUUGGAACAUGUGAGUUAAAACAGAAUUUGUUUUAGAAUAGAUCUGUAGAAACUGGAAGACUAGAGUCAGAACUAGUGGUAUAUUCUCUAACAAAAACAUACAUUUUGACAUUUAGUCUAAAUUAGCAAAGUGGGCAUAAUUCCCCAAAAUAUUUAUAUUUAUAAUUUAUAAUUUCAACAUUUUGAAAUUUUAAUGUAAUGGCUAUUAGUAAAUUUUAACCCCUUAAGGACACAACUUCUUGAAUAUUUCCGUCAUGUGUCCUUAAAGGGUUAAGGUUAUUAGGUUAGGCUUAUGGUUUGGGUUAGAGGUUUAAGGUUACAGUUAGAAAGCAGAUCCAGUUAAUUGUCAAACCAUUUAUAAUUUAUUUACCAGCUUACUGCAGGGUUGUGCCAGGGGACAUCUGGCACCAUAACCGUUACAGUAUGUGGUGCACAAACAGAGAAUGCUCUAUGUUCAAAAUUUCAAGAGUAACCUACAAGGAACGAGGGACAUUAAAGUAGCAUUGUAAUUUGAAUGCUUUUCAUAAAGAUAUAAUCUUUAUAUGUAAAAUAAAGUAGGGAAUACAUAAUGAGGUAAUGGGUAGAGCUUCUACCACCACAUCUUGAGCAAUAGAUACCUAGGACAUCUUAUUAGUGGAACAAAAUAUUACGGUAGGGGCAGCCAACCCCAGGUCUGGCAGCACCAGGAUCCUAAAAAGAGUGCGGAAUUCCUCCUUUUCAUUUAGGAUAUUUUAUUGUUACCAUCUUCACCACCGCUGUUGGCACUUCAUCACCCAGUGCCAACGUAAUAGCAAAAUCUCCUAUCCAAUGGAAGAGCCAAUACUCGGCAAAACGCGCAUCGGGACAUUAGUAGCAGAGGGUGGCGGGGUGACAGGGGAUUAUGCUGCAGCCUACAUUUCUUUCCCGGAUUAGCCACCCUGCUAUAUUAUUUUAACAGACCUUUUGAUGUAGCUACAAGGUAGUUUCGGCUACAUCUUUUGUUAGGGGGAUAGGAGAUUUUGCUAUUACGUUGGCACUGGGUGAUGGGAGUUGGGGGAUUAGUUAUCUAACUGAGGUUUUUGGUAUACUGAAACUAUAUCUUUAUUUUUAUUUUGGAAAUCCCAGUGCCAUAGGUGCUAUUACCUGACAGGGGUAGCACUGUUUAUCAUUUAUCUCCUUUUGUUUGUUUCCCCUGUUUUCUUUCACUUUUCAUUAUAAUAUAUAGGGAUUUUAACCCAAGACAAUUAAAAGUUAUAUUUUAUUCUAUUUAAUUUCUACUAGUGUAGAUGGGGUUGCUCUAAUAUUCUUAAAGCUUGAAGGGGAAGUGUUUAGAUCUAUCUAUUCCCUUUCUGGCUUUUUUGUUCUCUUCUCUUAGUUAUAACCUUGCUAGGUAUCACUAAUAACCUGUUCUUUUGUUUUUUUGUGAUACACGAGAGAGAUGGAAGUCAAGGAUUCUGUUUGCCAACUUUUUGUGUGCCUGUUAGACCUGGUCUUGAGCCUUCCACGGGAAUCAUUAAGUGAAUUUUGGUACAAUUGUAAGAGCCUUGCUGUCAUCCAUAAGUGGAUAUCAUUAUUUAUUUAUAGCUGUGAUUAUAGGCUGCAUGUUUUUUUGUGUUUCGCUGUUUGCAUGUAAGUGAAACUGAACAUUCUUUGAUGGGCUCUGAGAUGGUUUAACACAGAUGUGGGAGAGUAUAGUUAUUAGUGAUGGUUUCUGAAUAUGGACUACUUGUGAAUAGCAGAGCCAUCUCAUUUAGUUUAUUGUGUGAAAUUACUGUGCAAGGAUCACGUAAGCCAGUGGUUCCCAACCCAGUCCCCAAGUAACCCCUAACAGUCCAGGAUUGAAGUAUUACUCAAUUGUGUCUAAGGUGUUUUUGAAAAAGAAAAAACACUUUAGACACAACUGGGUAAUCCCUAAAUCCUGGACUGGUAGGGGGUACUUGACGACUGGGUUGGGAACCCCUAACGUAAGCGAUCAUAAAGAAAUAACAUUAAAAAUGUGUUUUACAUAUUCCCUGGGGGGUUUCUUUUAAUGCUCUGGCAAUAUGUGGUAUAGUUCCUAUUUAACCAUGUAUAUAGUUGAUAUACUUAAAUUGAUUCCUUGAUAUUUAGGAUGCUUGUGAGGUUCAAGGUUGAUAUUUAGGAUGCUUGUGAGGUUCAAAGUUGCUCAGAUUGCUUUCAUACAUUGUAAAAAAAAAUCCAGCUGUAGGCUGCAAGGUUGGUGGAAAAGAACUUUUAAAAGAUCUUGUGAUAUUUUGCUAAAAAUCUCUAAUGACAAGUGAAAAGAUACAUAGGUUCCCAAUGCUAUUCACACAGAAAAAAAGUUUAAACAUUUAUUAUAUUGCAAAUCUAACUGCAAGGUGAUGUAAAAAAAUAAAUAAAUAAACAAACAAACAAACAAAUAAACUGAAACUCUGAAUAUCCCACAAAACAAAAAAAAGGCAAUUUUUCUAUUUUGUGUUCAAAUAGUUCUGCUAUGCCUGUUCACUAACUGACACGCUAAAAUACUCACUUUUUUUUUUAUGUGUGUCCGAGAUUUGCAGAUUACAAUGUAUCACAUAUAGUUGUUUAAAAAAUAGCAGUCAUUGAAAUCCAUUAAUAUUAGAAAACACUUUAAUUUUUGUAUGUAACUAUAUGUAUUCUACUUUAUUUGCAAGAAAUGAGAGAAAAUAUUUGUGUAUAAGAGAUAUAGUGUAGAAAAAAAACUAGAAAACAAAUUAAAAGAAUAUAGUAAAUUAGAUACUAGGCCCUUUAUUUGGCUGCAGUAGUAGAAAUUGAGGCUGUGUACUUUUUUAUUUUUUACUGCUAUGAUGAUGUCAAAUAUCCUAAAUAACUGGCUGUGUAAUGCACUUCAACAGUUAUUACUGAUAUGCUGUAUUUUAACAUAUGCCUUACAGAGACCUCUUUAAAGACACACAGGGCAAGACUCACAGGGGUUAAUGAAAACAAGCAUUCCACUUACGUAUUCUGCCAUAAAUCAAAAUAGCAGUUAAACAGUAAUGCUUCAAUUGAAAUAUGGUUAAUAGGAAAGCGUAUCUAGAUAUGUUGAAAUGUAUGUAUGAAAGUCUUUAACUUUGCUUUUUUUAAACUUUUGCAGUCAGAAGAAACUGGCAAUAUACAGUAAGCUGCCACUAAAUUAUCUUUAGUGGAUGGAAUUCAACUUCACUCUGAUUGCCUGUUUGAUCCUUUCAACCAAUCACAGUACAGCUUUUAUUUCCAUUGGGCUAGCUAAAAAUUGUUUUAGAUCUCUCUGCAUUCAUUCACUAAAACGCAGAGCUGCUUUAAGCAGUAAAAUACACUAAUACUCAGGCAUAACUGACCCUCUAAGGAAGAGGCUUUUUUCAGGAAGCUAAGAGUAUCUCUGCUAUUAUGUCGCCAAAUAAAAUACAGAUUAACGAACAGUGCACACAUAAAGAAUUACUAAGAUAGGUGAAUACAAAGUUUAAAAAUAUAUAUUUUUGUGUGUGUACGCUGUUUCUUAAUCUGUAUUUCUUAUAUUAUGGUCUUUACGCCAGUUUCUGGGUGUUUUCCCCCAAUUCCCUAUUUUUCUAUGUUGCCAAAUAAAACCAUAGCAGUUCUUAGUUUUUUUUUUAUGUACAGUUACAAAUCAAACGAUACCGGUAAAUAUAGACUUAUGUUUAGCAAAAAAAAAAAAAGUAAUGAUGUGAUCAUACAAUAAUAGUUUUUUUAAAAAUACUCAGGUUUUACAUUCACUACCUGUGUAUCAAAUAAGACCUAAGACAAAAAAAGCUAAAAAUCAAUAACAAAAAAAAACAACUAAACAAUUGUGCUAUUUGGUGUCCCUAACUGUAAUAUGUUAUCUUAAGAAUUAUAGUUAUCGAACUUUUAAACAGAUAUAUAGACAAUAACAAUCACUAAAGGGAGGGAGAGUUCAGACAAUGGAGUAUUUCCUCUACUAUUGAAUCGAAAGCUCUUCUAUUAACAAGGGUUUAAGCCCAGGAUACAAUCUAGUGGUGUCUACCUAACGUUUAGGUGCUCGGGCAUUUUUAGCUUUGGCACAUAUUUAUUCGUAUAUUGACAAUAACGUAGUGCGUAACCUUUCUGUGAUGUUCUGAAACACUAAGAUUUCAGUAUGGAGAAAUUUAUAAUAAGGAAAAAAAACAAGAAUAAUUAAAUACAAAUCUGAUUUCAAUAAGAUAGACACUGGUGAUUUCCAUUUAUUAUGUAAAUAAAAAUGUAACUCUACAUUUGGCAAGGGCAGUGUUUAAACAUAUAUCACUAUUUAGUAUAUCUACCCCAAUGAAAACAUGCAUGCUUUCAAAUAUGCAUUUUUUUAAUUGAGCAAAAUUCUAAAAACAAUUUGCAAAAGCUGCAGAUCUCUUUUCUGCAGCCUUCCCAAGCCCUCCCCUUCUUUCCCAGCCAAGGCUUUAUGUGGCUGUACAAUCACAAACUUCCCAAUGCAGCGCAAUGAGAAUUCUUUGCAAGGCAGGUGCUCUGUGCAAUGGCUGCCUCUUGAGUAUAGCUCCAUUGAGCUAAACUACUAGGAAAUCUGCACUUUUGUAAAAUGAUAAAAGAGAGGACACACUCUGUGCUUUAGGUGUUUGGAGAAAGUUGUUCUCAAUUAUGAGACCAAAUUUCAUCUAUCCCUUUAAUGCUUUUUAUUACUUGAAAGGGUAGAACAUUGAUCUAUAAAGUCAUCAAUGUUUUCAUGUUCAGUUUUAUCUGAUUGCUAAAAGUCACAAGUAUACUUUGUUAAUAAUCUAAAUGUCCAUUGGGUUUCCUUCCUUGUCCUCAAACUGCCCCCUACCCCCUCAAUGGCUAUGAUAUAGGAACUCCAAAUCUUUUCCAUAUUAAGAAAACAAUGAUCCACUGGGAUUUGCAUGUAGAGUGAGUUGGGAACGAGAAGUACUAUAACAAAAUAGGGUGAGCCUUUCUCAUCCAAUUAAUAUGGCGCUGUCUUGCAAUAUUAACCUUUUGUACACAUUUAUAGCCAAAUCAUUUUCUGGCAAAUCGACCAAAUAAUGUAUAAUACUAAAACAUAUAUUUUGCCAAUGCAAGUAAAGAUUUGGGAGAAAAGACAUAAGGAAGCACACUUAUACUAAUUAGCACAAGUUUACAGUAAAAAAAAAGGGUAGUAUUUUUACAAAGGAAAUAUCUGUCGAUUAUUAACGUCAAGUAUAGAUAUAUUUAGGAUGUUUUAUUCCAUUAAACAUUCAUUGUAAUGAUAUUUUGCGGUGACUGCAGUUUGUGGAUAAUUACAGAUUUUUUUUUUCAUACAGAUGUGUAUUUUCUUUAUUAUGACAUAGUAGCAAAAAAAUACAAAAAAAAAAUAAAAAUAAAUGAUGAGAUGUCUUAUAAUUCUCUCAUGUACAAAGUUACGUGCUUACAUUUUUGAUUGUUAUUGCCCUAUGGAAAAUUUGUGAACACAGGUUGGUUAUUUAAGGAGAGCACACAUGUAGUAAGUAGUUUAAAAAAAAAAAAAUAACUUAAAGUGCAAAAAAUUUAUUUUCAAAAAAGGCCAUAAAAUAAACAGAGUCCAUUAGCAAAUGUGUAAUGAAAAAUCAAAAGAAAUGUUCUUCAAAAUAAAAAAAGGAUUAUGUACAAAAAUGGCUAAGCCACUAAAGAAAAUGGAAUUUCAGAAAAUUAUGUAUUUAUGCUUUUAUGAUGUUGUUCAAACAGUUAUACCCAAAGCAGAACAUUCAAAGCUGGACUGUGAAGCUGAUUUUGCCUUUAUUAAACCAAAACAGUCAAAAAUUUGUAUAUGUUUUAUGCUGAUUAACCGUUUCUACUUUACUUCUUUGGAUAUGUGUAGCAACUUAACAAGGCAUGCUGGGUAAAAAAAAAAUACUAUGCAAAGGCGUACAGUGUUGCAUGUUCUAAUUUCCCCUCUGCUUUAGUGGCUUACAGAGAAACCAAGUGGUGUAAUUUUCGUGAAAAAGGAACAUUUAACAAAGACAAUGCAGACUGCAUGCAUACAGCAUCCUAAUUUCUCUGGACUUGUUUUAUGGAAUUUAGAAGUGUAAAAAUUAACUGCAUUAACAUUUUUUUUUUCUAUAAUAAAUGAAAAACCUUGUAAGAA